GAGUAGCCUAGUGGUUAGAGCAUCCACCUUGGAUGCAGGAGGUUGUGGGUUUCAAACCCCAGCCUACCCA